rnacentral:rRNA from 1 species
UAGGGAAUCUUCCACAAUGGACGCAAGUCUGAUGGAGCAACGCCGCGUGAGUGAAGAAGGUUUUCGGAUCGUAAAGCUCUGUUGUUGGUGAAGAAGGAUAGAGGCAGUAACUGGCCUUUAUUUGACGGUAAUCAACCAGAAAGUCACGGCUAACUACGUGCCAGCAGCCGCGGUAAUACGUAGGUGGCAACCGUUGUCCGGAUUUAUUGGGCGUAAAGCGGGCGCAGGCGGAAGAAUAAGUCUGAUGUGAAAGCCCUCGGCUUAACCGAGGAACUGCAUCGGAAACUGUUUUUCUUGAGUGCAGAAGAAGCGAGUGGAAUUCCAUGUGGAGCGGUGGAAUGCGUAGAUAUAGGGAAGAACACCAGUGGCGAAGGCGACUCUCUGGUCUGCAACUGACGCUGAGGCUCGAAAGCAUGGGUAGCGAACAGG